rnacentral:rRNA from 1 species
UACGAGGGGGGCAAGCGUUGUUCGGAAUUAUUGGGCGUAAAGGGCGCGUAGGCGGUUUGACAAGUCUGAUGGGAAAUCUCUGGGCUCAACCCAGAGUCUGCAUUAGAAACUGUCGGGCUUGAGUAUGGGAGAGGUGAGUGGAAUUUCCGGUGUAGCGGUGAAAUGCGUAGAUAUCGGAAGGAACACCUGUGGCGAAAGCGGCUCACUGGACCAUAACUGACGCUGAGGCGCGAAAGCUAGGGGAGCAAACAGG